rnacentral:rRNA from 1 species
GACGAACGCUGGCGGCGUGCUUAACACAUGCAAGUCGAACGGAAAGGCCCUGCUUUUGUGGGGUGCUCGAGUGGCGAACGGGUGAGUAACACGUGAGUAACCUGCCCUUGACUUUGGGAUAACUUCAGGAAACUGGGGCUAAUACCGGAUAGGAGCUCCUGCUGCAUGGUGGGGGUUGGAAAGUUUCGGCGGUUGGGGAUGGACUCGCGGCUUAUCAGCUUGUUGGUGGGGUAGUGGCUUACCAAGGCUUUGACGGGUAGCCGGCCUGAGAGGGUGACCGGCGACAUGGGGACUGAGAGAGGGCCCAGACUGCUACGGGAGGCAGCAGUGGGGAAUAUUGCACAAUGGGCGGGAGCCUGAUGCAGCAACGCCGCGUGCGGGAUGACGGCCUUCGGGUUGUAAACCGCUUUCGCCUGUGACGAAGCGUGAGUGACGGUAAUGGGUAAAGAAGCACCGGCUAACUACGUG